GAAUUUCUCAUUCUUGUAGGCUACCAUUUCUUUUGGCUUAUUACAAAACAACAGGAUGCUGCAGCUUUAUCAAAGUCUACUUAUUUGUCCACUAAAAGUUUAUGGCUAUACGUUUCCAACUAGAACAUCUGAACACCAAUAUAUGGAAUUCUGACAAAGUUAAAACCAGGAAGAGAUCCUAUGAAGGCUGACAUUUUGUACAUCUGUUUUAUAGAACAAUAAAAAUAAGAAGAACAAGAAUAAGAACAGCAACAACAUUUGCAGGCCACUGUCUAGACCACAGGAAACCUGGUCAACAACAUAUGGGAUGUCACCAGAUUCAGACUCAGAAGUUUCCAUAAUGCCGUUGCCAACAGCUAGACACAGAAACCUGAGCCUGAGAAUUUGCUUAUGGAUUGUAUAUGAUGCCAGGAAAUGGAAUAGAGGACUGGGAAGAGUGAGAGAAGGAAGAGAAGCCAGGAGGAGAGUAUGUUACGAGCUGUGAAUAAUUGGGACUUGAUUCGAUGAAGAAACGGCUAUAUAGAGAGAUAAAGAAGCUUGCUCAAGGAUACACAGCCAGAAAGCAAAAGAGUUGGAGUUUGAACUUCGACAGUCUAACUCGAGGUUCUUUCUCUGUGUUUAAUCAGUCAACCACACUGCCUCUUCAGAAGCACGCAUAAUGUAUGCUCUAAAAAGUAAUGUCAAUGUAUUAGGUGUCAGUAGGUGAUCUCCCACCAGAGUGUACCAACAAGUGGAUCGGUCAAGAUAAAUCAUUACAGUGUGUC
rnacentral:lncRNA from 1 species